UGCCAGCCGCCGCGGUAAUACGGAGGGUGCAAGCGUUAAUCGGAAUUACUGGGCGUAAAGCGUGCGUAGGCGGCGCAUUAAGUCGGAUGUGAAAGCCCUGGGCUUAACCUGGGAAUGGCAUUCGAUACUGGUGCGCUAGAGUCUGAUAGAGGGUAGCGGAAUUCCGGGUGUAGCGGUGAAAUGCGUAGAUAUUAGGAAGAACACCAGUGGCGAAGGCGACUUUCUGGCUCGUAACUGACGCUGAGGCACGAAAGCGUGGGGAGCAAACAGGAUUAGAUA
rnacentral:rRNA from 1 species